UACGGAGGAUGCGAGCGUUAUCCGGAUUUAUUGGGUUUAAAGGGUGCGCAGGCGGCGAGUUAAGUCAGCGGUAAAAUUUCGGGGCUCAACCCCGACAAGCCGUUGAAACUGAUGUUCUUGAGUGGGCGAGAAGUAUGCGGAAUGCGUGGUGUAGCGGUGAAAUGCUUAGAUAUAACUUAGAACCCCGAUAGCGAAGGCAGCUUACCAGACUGUUACUGACGCUGAAGCACGAGAGCGUGGGUAGCGAACAGG
rnacentral:rRNA from 1 species